UACGAAGGGGACUAGCGUUGUUCGGAAUUACUGGGCGUAAAGCGCACGUAGGCGGAUUUGUAAGUCAGGGGUGAAAUCCCGGGGCUCAACCUCGGAACUGCCUUUGAUACUGCAAAUCUCGAGUCCGAUAGAGGUGGGUGGAAUUCCUAGUGUAGAGGUGAAAUUCGUAGAUAUUCGGAAGAGCACCAGUGGCGAAGGCGGCUCACUGGACUGGUAUUGACGCUGAGGUGCGAAAGCGUGGGGAGCAAACAGG
rnacentral:rRNA from 1 species